rnacentral:misc_RNA from 1 species
UUGGGGUAAAUCCUCUGUAGA